GGAAGCAAUAAUAUUCCCCUUGGGUAGACAGUUACCCAAAUCAACUUCUCCAAGGCCGUGGUGUCUGCUGCUAAUGUUCACAGGAGGCCUUAUUUCCAGAGAAGAGCAAAUUAUUGGGCCACUUGCUGAGGGUGCAAAUGAGUUUUCUGAUGCCUCCCUGCAGCCCUCUGGAGCAUCCAGAGAAGAGGCAGGCCCUAUGGAGAAUUCUACUACAAGCCCGGAUGGGGUUUUCCAUGGGAAAUGACUGAAAGGUUGUAAAGAAACCCUCCCGCUGAUUUGGAAGAAUACCCUGCAAACCAGGAUCCACCCCACUGGUACUUCUGUCUCAGGCUCUCAGAUCUGGAUUGGCUCUCGGGUCUUGGAAUUAUACCACUGGCUUUCCUGGGUCUCCAGCUUACAGACAGCAAGUCGUGGAACUGCGUAGCUUCUGUAAUCAGGAGAGUCAAUACCCUAUAAUGAGAACCCUGGAGACUAGCACCUGUUUGCUGAGCAAUGAAUGCCCCCACUGCCUUCAGAUGCUUCCUUCCACAAACAGCUUCUUGAUUAAUCUCUUCUGAUGUUACCACCACCUCUCAUCCAAAGGAAUGAAUAGGAGGAUGCACUGAGAAAUCAG
rnacentral:lncRNA from 1 species